GGGCCAGUAGACUAGUGGUUAGAGUGUUGGGCCAGUAGCCUAGUGGUUAGAGUGUUGGGCCAGUAGCCUAGUGGUUAGAGUGUUGGGCCAGUAGCCUAGUGGUUAGAGUGUUGGGCCAGUAGCCUAGUGGUUAGAGUUUUGGGCCAGUAGACUAGUGGUUAGAGUGUUGGGCCAGUAGACUACUGGUUAGAGUGUUGGGCCAGUAGCCUACUGGUCAGAGUGUUGGGCCAGUAGCCUAGUGGUUAGAGUGUUGGGCCAGUAGCCUAGUGGUUAGAGUGUUGGGCCAGUAAGACUAGUGGUUAGAGUGUUGGGCCAGUAGACUACUGGUUAGAGUGUUGGGCCAGUAGCCUAGUGGUUAGAG
ensembl:lncRNA